UUUAUCUUCUGUUUUCAAAUUGAUAUGAUUUUUUGAAGUUGACCUAUGCUUGUUGACUUUCACCAUGCUUGCUUGAAUUUGAUUUGACUUCAUGAAUUUCAUUGACUGCCUUCCUCUCAUCCAAAUGCCAUGAAAUUUUACAUGUAUACCAUGUUAGAUGUUAGGAUUGAGUGUGAUUUAUUUCAUAAUUUUUGAAAAUGUUUGAGUUGACUUUUGAAUGAAGUCUUUGCUGUUG
rnacentral:lncRNA from 1 species